AUUCGGAUGACGAGUCGCAAAUAGGACGAGGUGCUCGUCCUGAAU
rnacentral:hammerhead_ribozyme from 1 species